UGAAGCAGUGAUUGCAGUCGAUAGUAUAUAAGUCGUGCAGGAUGAUUACUAAGUACCUGAAACUCUGGUUCGC